rnacentral:rRNA from 1 species
GACGAACGCUGGCGGCGUGCUUAACACAUGCAAGUCGAACGGAAAGGCUCCAGCUUGCUGGAGUACUCGAGUGGCGAACGGGUGAGUAACACGUGGGUAAUCUGCCCUGCACUCUAGGAUAAGCCUGGGAAACUGGGUCUAAUACUGGAUAUGACCUUUCUCCUUAUGGGGUUUGGUGGAAAGUUUUUCGGUGUAGGAUGAGCCCGCGGCCUAUCAGCUUGUUGGUGGGGUGAUGGCCUACCAAGGCGACGACGGGUAGCCGGCCUGAGAGGGUGAUCGGCCACAUUGGGACGGAGAUACGGCCCAGACUCCUACGGGAGGCAGCAGUGGGGAAUAUUGCACAAUGGGCGGAAGCCUGAUGCAGCGACGCCGCGUGAGGGAUGACGGCCUUCGGGUUGUAAACCUCUUUCAGCAGGGACGAAGCGUAAGUGACGGUACCUGCAGAAGAAGCACCGGCUAACUAUGUG